UUUAGUCGAUGAUAUUUUCUUUCUGUCACAAAGGCCAACCUCACUUCAUUCAUGAAAAAGCAAGAAACUUCUUGACUUUUAGAAAUCUGUCUCGGAACUCUGAUGCUCUCACACCGAUAUUCAACAACCUCAGCUCUAUCUAUUUGGACUGCUUGUCAAUCUAUUGCUUGCUACCCGAACUGCUUGCCGCUCAGCCAUCUGUCACUCAACCAUCUGUCACUCAAACUGCUUGCCAUCCAAACAACUGGCCUGUUGUCUUUCAGACUUGCAUUAUGUUAGGACAACUUGCUCUUCCUCCCAUGUAUUCCUCUGUUUUCUUCCAUUCUUUUUUGUUGAUGAAUUGUUGCUCUUACAAGGCAUAAUUACACUAUCUCUUGGCAUCCCAAUUAGCCAACUAAUCAGCCGUGUGAUCUGUUUUGUUUUCAAGAACCCCGUCUAUACUUACAAAUCCCAUUCAUAUCUAAUCUUGAUGUUCAUAUGAAAAUCAAUCAAUUAAUUGAUAUCAACAUGUUCAGGGGUGCUUGAUUUUCA
rnacentral:lncRNA from 1 species